rnacentral:rRNA from 1 species
GACGAACGCUGGCGGCGUGCUUAACACAUGCAAGUCGAACGGUGAAGGGGUCUGCUUUUGUGGGCCCUGGAUGAGUGGCGAACGGGUGAGUAACACGUGAGUAACCUGCCCCCUUCUUCUGGAUAACCGCAUGAAAGUGUGGCUAAUACGGGAUAUUCUGGGUCUGUCGCAUGAUGGGUCUGGGAAGGAUUGCGCCUUUGGGUGUUUUUGGUGGGGGAUGGGCUCGCGGCCUAUCAGCUUGUUGGUGGGGUGAUGGCCUACCAAGGCGGUGACGGGUAGCCGGCCUGAGAGGGUGGACGGUCACACUGGGACUGAGACACGGCCCAGACUCCUACGGGAGGCAGCAGUGGGGAAUAUUGCACAAUGGGCGCAAGCCUGAUGCAGCGACGCCGCGUGAGGGAUGGAGGCCUUCGGGUUGUAAACCUCUUUCGCCAGUGAAGCAGGCCUGCUCCUUGUGGGUGGGUUGACGGUAGCUGGAUAAGAAGCGCCGGCUAACUACGUG